rnacentral:lncRNA from 1 species
GAAAAAGAUAAAUUAUGUUAUUCCUCAUAAAGGAGGUGUUGACUGUAAAAUGGAGCAAAGUAAACCCUUAUUCGCAUAAUGGAUACCAUUGCCAUAAAAAGCUGUAGCAUCAGACCGGUUCUAAAGUGAAUGCAAACACUGAAAGAAAAUGCAAUGAAAGAAUGAUAAAUAUAAAUAUAUAAAAUAAAAGGAUAUUCAUAAAUGCUAAGUAGUGAUAUUUAAUUUGUCUCAGGAUUGUGUCCAAGAUUACAUAGUGAUACUCCAUGCAUAUUUAAGGAAGAAGUUAUACCUUAUUAGUGGCCCUGAAAUAAAGGGAUAAAAUUUCUGUAAAAGCUUGACUAUAUAUGUAAAAUAAAACUGGCCAAUGAUCAGUAUGUUUUGAACUGUUCUUUUGAUAUCCAUUGGAUAGAUCCAGUUUCUCUAAUGUCCUGUCUUAGAGAAUGAGCAAAGUAGACUGCCGAGGAACAAGGACAAAAAAUGAAAAGACACAGCAUUACUUCCCUGAACAUUCUCCUGGUUUCCACCAGUUUGCUGUUCAGGGACUGCCUGACCCACAGAUGUCUGUAUGUAAGUGUAUAUUUAAUAAUUCAUUGUGGCAUUACACUUUUUUUUUUUGUUUUGUUUUCCCUUGGUAUUGUGUAGCUUUUUAUCAGCGUGUUGUUUUCCCUCUUGGCCGUGUCCUCACAACUCACCCCAUUCCAAGAGCAUGGAUGACUGUUGUGCCCAGCAGUGUAUUGUACAUAUGUAAUGAACACAGCUUAGGGUGUCAUAUGGACAUCUCGAGUUUCUUCAGCAAGCUAGGAAGCAUUUCCUUUGGUCAACCUGAAUGUCUGUGGAACAGACUCGUGGACUUCUAAACACCUUCCAAGCUCUGUCCAAGAAUCCAAAUUAUGCAGGAGGAUAGAUCAGGAGAUGAGUAAUCAUGGGAUAGAGUAAUUCUUGGUCUUCUAAGAAAAUCAGACCUUCAGGGCUCAUGUGCUGUUACGACACUUUCUCCUCCUUCUGGUCAGUAACAUUUUAAUCCAUUUAUCAAUUCUAGCUGUUUUGUGCAAAAAAAUUCAAGGCUUAUGAAAAUAAGAUUCUAGACAAAAAAAGUAGAUAUUAUCAGUGCUGUAAAUGUGAAGAAUAAUAAUAGAUUACUAUGCAGUAUGAGGAG